rnacentral:rRNA from 1 species
UACGUAGGGGGCGAGCGUUGUCCGGAAUCAUUGGGCGUAAAGCGCGUGUAGGCGGCUCGUUAAGUCCGGUGUGAAACCUUGGGGCUCAACCCCAAGCCUGCACUGGAUACUGACGAGCUCGAGUCCGGGAGGGGAGAGCGGAAUUCCUAGUGUAGCGGUGAAAUGCGCAGAUAUUAGGAAGAACACCGGUGGCGAAGGCGGCUCUCUGGAACGGUACUGACGCUGAGACGCGAAAGCCAGGGGAGCAAACGGG